rnacentral:lncRNA from 1 species
CCGCGUUUCCCACUCCCCGGUCUCGCCCCGCUGUACCGCUCCAACCACACUCGCGGGCCCCUCCUCGAAGGAUUAAGGAGACGUGCUCCCACUGGCCGCCAGACGAGCCCUAACCACCACCCGCGCUCCUCCUAACUUGGGGUCCUCCUGGCCCUCACAUUUGCAUAUGGGGCUUUCUAGGCCCUCGAUUGGCCCCUGCGAUGCUUGACUUGGUGCCACUGAAAUGCAGCUGCUCCUGUGAAAAAGAAUUGUUUAUUCUUAGACUUCUGGAAGACUAUGGGUCAUUCCUCUCUACUGAGGGCUCUUGGAAGACAUGUGAGGAGGAGAAGCAGGCCCUUCUUUGAAAACCUAUAGUCAAGAGAACUAAUGGAGGAGGCCAGAUCCACAUCUUUCAUGUGAAGCCUGUUGGAGCUGGUCCAGGAGAGUUUCCCAGAGGAUGUGAGCUUUUAGCAGAUUCAUUGGGAGCAUUGCAUCCGAUGAGAGUGCCCAGUCUUCAUGCUGUGCUCUGAUAGGAUGCUGGAGGAAAGGUGAAGGGACUGAAAAAACCCUCCAGCAUAGUUUUCACUUGAAAUGAAAACAUUUGAGCUACAGCAGAUGCAGAAAGAUGUCUUAUCUGAAUUUCUCUUAUCUAAAUAAAGCAGAGCUUUAUGAGAGUCACCUGCCACAACUGCCUCCCUCAUCCUCCAGGAAAAUUGCCAGGGAGGCAGGCUCUGUCCUUGGACACAUGGACAUUCCAAAAAAAUUGUGUUAACAGGUCUCAUCAGGGUCUUCCAUCCUUUGAAGCCCUAAACCUCCCUUUUUAAGCUGAUGUAUAAACGUUUAUCUCUACCUGUUUGAAGAGUUACUCACUCCUGAGUGCUCUCAUAUAUAUGUGAAUAUACUUUGUUACCUUUUGCACCUAAGUUGGUAGAGGAAAAGUUUUCCUCCCAACACAGGACACUGUCCCUUUACCUGCUGAUCUGCGCAGGCAGGAGGCUAGAGGCAAAGGCAUAGCUUAGCCCCAAGCAGACACUGAAAACCUGCUCACCCUGGAGGGCCCGAGGGGGAACCAGCAGCCCAUUGCUGCUCUUCUAGAAACCUUUCUGCCGUCCUGUUGUCUUCCCUCUUCCCUCCAGGUGGCCCUGGGCUAUCUUGCCACUCCCCCUCUCCAGGGCUCUGGGGACCCAGGUGACCAUCAUCAACUGGCCACCCAGCAGAUGCUUCCCUAAGACCAACUGCCCCAGCUCUGUUCCCCUCCCCCAUCCCGCCUCUUUCUUUCCCCAGUGUCCUACCAAUCUGCUCUGCCACGCUCCGCUCCCGCUUUGGUCUCACAUCCCUCUGGAGUGAUAUUGUGAUGGAAAUGAGGGAGAGGAUGCAGGAGCAAGCAGCAAAGAUUUACCGCUUCCACAGGGUUUCCAUUAAAAUCCCUGACAAUCAGUUAUUUAUGAAAGGGCUGGCUGCAGUGGGAGCUAAUAGGCCAGAGCCUGGCACUGCUGUCCGUUCAGGGGUGAUCACAGGAACAAACGCAGGGUGAACAGUAGAGCUAUCCCACUGAAGAGCAAAGGCGGAUUUGACCCCAUCAGACAUCCCCUCCAGGGCCAGAGAGCAACAGCCAGGAAGUCAGAGAGCAUCCGUGAUUUGUGAUUUGUGCCGGGCAAACCAGAAACAAACAUCCACAUAGCAAACACUGAGGGUUUUUCUGAGCCUGGUGUGAAAGGCUGAAGCAAUGUGUUGGAGCGUCCUUCCAGUCAUCAAAAAACUUAGACUGGGUCCCCUCCUCUGAGCUCCAACUCAGAGGCAAGAGUGUGCAAAAAACGCAGAUCUUAAGCUGCUGUUUUCAGUGUCUUUCUGUUCCUAAGGCACCACUUGACUAAAUAAAUCCCUCUGAAGGUUGUUGGCUCUACAGUUGACACGCAGACUCUGUGUCUCAGUUUGGGACUCUUCUUUUAAGUAGUUAAUGAAAAAAAGAGUCCUCCUUCUGCCCGCCUGAACCAAG